UUGAAUCGGACGUAAGUUCCUAUGUUCAUAUGUGAAUACAUGACCAGGGUAACUCCACGUCAUGUGCGACCACAAGAACGGGAAGCUAUCUUCCAUGUAUGUAUAAUAUGUCAAAAUACACUCUACUGUCACGUAUAUCUAAAAAGAACAAAUAAAACAAACAAACAAAAUACAGUACCAGAAAGGAAAUUGAAGGGAAAAUGUGAGUUGGGGCCCCCAGAUUUAACCUCCCUGAAAGCUUUUCUGGUUCCAGGACCUCUGGGGUCAGAAUCUUGGGUCUUGCUCCAUCUCAACAUUUCAGCAGCCAGAGGCACUUCAAGAAGCCUCAGGCUGGGAGCUGACAGAAGGAAUGUGAAGAUGAUUGAUAGAGACCUGAAGAAACACCUCUAUUGUACAGGCGGGAAGUCAGAAUCCCCCGCCACCCUUCAAUGGGGUCAUACAAGCCACCACCUGGAGCCGGCUUUCCUUGGGCACUUUGCAGGACUUAGGUUGACACCUUCACAGCAACAUCUAGACUGAUGUUUGACUGCGGAUCUGGGUUCGGUACACAAUUGGACACAUAAAAUGAACUGCCUGCAUGACCAGCUUGACCUCAAGCCUGAUGGGAGCUGGCCCCUCUCAGGUGCCCAGUGCUCACCAGGUGCUGCCCAGCAACCUUCUCCAAGGACCAGCCGUGGACCUGUCCUGGCGGCAGAAGUCCCACGGCCUUCCCUCCAGGACCUUGUCCCCCGUCGUGUGCACACACACAUACCGCCCAGAGAAAAAUCCAGAAAGCACAGACUCGGGUGAGGAAGCCGAGGUGCAGAGAGGUCGAAGAACUUGCUGGACUCCUGGGCCGAUCAGAGGUGGAACCGAGUUGGGACCCAGGACAACUGAGUGCAGAGUCUGGGCCCUGAGUUUUCUCGGCUGCGUCACAUGAGGGUUCGCAGGGGCUCAGGAUGGGAGCUGGAGGAGCAGCCACGUCCUCCCUGGGCAGCGGCGCUGAGUGUGGGGAGGACGUGGCU